rnacentral:rRNA from 1 species
UACGUAGGGUGCGAGCGUUAAUCGGAAUUACUGGGCGUAAAGCGUGCGCAGGCGGUUCGUCGUGUCCGAUGUGAAAGCCCCCGGCUCAACCGGGGAGGGUGGCUGGAAACUGUCGUUCUUGAGGGCGAGAGAGGAGGGUGGAAUUCCGUGGUGUAGCGGUGAAAUGCGUAGAGAUCAGGAGGAACACCCGUGGCGAAGGCGGCCCUCUGGCUCGACCCUGACGCUGAGGCGCGAAAGCGUGGGGAGCGAACGGG